UAGAAUACAUUGUAAACUUUGGCAAUUAUUCAAAUGCUGACAGCCAGCACCACUGCCCAUGCAGCGGUGCUGUUCCCUCCUCCAUACAAGUAUCUCCUCUUGCCAGAAACAAUGCAAUGUACCUACCCUAUUUACCCAAUGCCAGCACACCUCACGCAGGAAAGAAAUUGACCAACGUGUGUAAAAGGCAAUAUUUACAUUUUUAAUCAUAUCAGCAAUAUAAGUUUGCCAAAAAUCAUAAAUCUUUAGGUUACACAUCAUGUCAACACUGCCAAUGUUGUGUGUCACCACAAACGUGUUACACAACAUGAUACACUGAAGAAACGCACAUAGCACCAACAUGGAACUCGGUUCAAUAUGUGGAAAAGAACAGAGAAUGCAUAUAGCUGCUAGUUACCAUCUGGUAAUGACUACGUAGGUUAUAUGCGUAGGUUAUGAAAAUAAAUACUGAAUUUGUCUUCAUCAGACGCACGGUGUAAGGUAUCAAAUGAAAAGAAUCAUGCAAACGAAAGACAUGGAACCGCCUGCUGCAGCACAAUGCAUGUUUAUGACUCUGCCUUGAUGUAUGUAUUAGCACAUCAUUGUGCAGCAACUAUUUUUUAUUUUUUUGACAAAUCAAACAGCAUAGCAUUCAAUGCUUAAAAUCAGAUAUUUGUCUCUAUAUAAAGCUGCUGAAUGCAUUCUUCACCAUGUUCUGCUGUGUCAUGGUUUCUUCUUGCAUCAUAAGAUUUUCUGUAAGAUACACCAAAGAAAUGCCGUAACAAAAUGCGGUAAUGAAAAGCAUAUGCAAUUUGAUAUUGUAAAGCUGUCAAUAUGAGAUAAUGAUGCAUCUAAACAAUAAGACAGGGCUAAGUUAAAAAGCAAAUACCAUGUGUUCUUUCCUAGCUUGAAUAUAUAUAUAUUUUUUAAUAGCCCAGGGCACGCAGUGCAAUUCAGCCUGUUCAGGUGGAUAUAUCUGGAGGCGGGCAGUGCUUGCAGGAGAAAUUGCAAUGCUCAUUUACCUGAUUAACGAACUACCACUAAUUAUUUUUUUCAAUCAUUCACACUAGGAGACACAACGAAAUUGGCACAAUGAUAUCCACUUAAGCACACAAGCUGACAUCAGAGAAAAAAUUAGCAAAUUUUAGGUUUACUUCAUUAUAUCCAAUAACUUGUUAUAUGAAUGUUCAUUAUAUUAGGAUUCAACUUUAAUUCAAUUUUAUUUAGUGAACAUUUUAAUUAGAAGCCUCAACAUUGCAAUUUAUCAUGUGGGUAACUUCCGAUUCUUCCAGAAGUAUACCUGAAAAGGCAGAACAGCACUUUCCAUUACAGUCAAUAUUUUAAAAAUCGGUAUGAAUAAUAAUAAUAAUAAUGAUAAUAAUAAUUAAACAAAAACAGUUGGUAAAGGCCGUCUGCAAGUCGAGGGGCCAAUGAGGUAUGGGCUUAGUCACAGUGUUUCCCUUGCACUAGGGAAGUUAAGUGCGUCUACGUACAAUGUGCAAGCUGCCAGACACAAGCAAUGUUUAAAUUUUUCAUGUAACAAUCAAUAAAUAACAACAGUAAACACCAACUUAAGCUACAAGAGUGCCUUUUUUUUAGUAGUAUAUCCCCUAAACACUCAAAAUAUUUUUAAAUGAGGGGGAGUGGGUUUUCUUGUGCACAAAAUAAGGAUUCAAGAUUGGAUAGCAUAGUUGAACUAGCCUUGAUCCCAGGUAGCACGAUGACAAGCUGCAAGUGUAAAUUGUUAACGCUGUUGCAAUGGUAUGGCAACCAAUUAUUCUCAUUGUGAUGCAGACAAUAGUGAGCCGAUACUGUGCAGUACAAUAGAAAGACCUCAGGCAUAGCCAUGGUUUCAAGAAUUGACAGCCGAAAUUUAUAAGACCUGCUCCAUACGUUCGCUCAAUUUUGUUGUUGGUGAAGAUUUACUUCUCUGACGGAACAGCGAUAAUGGUCUGCUAAAUGAUACAACAGUGUAAAUAUAGCAGUUUUCUUUUUUUAGCAACAUGUCCACUAGACAAAAAUAUGGUGCAGAGUUAUAAGACAGAACAGUUUGCCUAUCAUUAGAGGCCUACGUAAGAAGGUGCUUUUCAGGUACUUAUGACAGUUUUAAUGAGUAUGUUGGAAUGAUGCCAAAGGGCUCCCACAUAAAACAAGAUGAAGUGUAUCGUUCAUUGACUCCCAAUCCCGUGAUAAUAUUAAUGCUGAUAGUGUAGUAGAGAAGUGGAUGAAUUCAAUGCAGUUCAGCUCGCAUUCAUAUGACAGUUCAGUAUGUGUGCAAUUUCACACAGUUAGCUGCUUAAAUAUGCCAACACAGCCAAAAAGAAAGCCCGUGAUCUUGCACUUAGCAGCAGAAUGCCUUGGCCAAGCCAUCUGCAUCAGGUUCAAGCUGUAAGUGUUUGUACCUCAAAAAGCUUUUUGGCACGAUCAAAGUCUGACUGCAUUGUAGUGCACACUAAACAAACCAACACUGCAAACAGUGCAGAUGACGAGACAAGAAAGGCAAACAGGAAGCAUCUGAUUUCUUGUCCCAUCCUCGGCACCAUUAGCGAUGAAGCACGAAAGCAAGCUAUUCCAACGUCACAUCCUCAGGACAGAGAAAAUUUGACAGUUCAAAUAUUAGGCCUUAACUUGUCGGGCGUUCCCUCUCUUUAUUAAACAGCGUCUCGUGCUACCCGGGAUCAGAUGUGCAAAGCAGCCAUCGUGAGCCCAGCAGCUGGCUUCCAUGAUGGAAGUGAGAGAACUUGCACAUGCGACAGACUAAGCUGCAAAUGUUGUGUUGCUGCACUAGCGUCUGCGUACAGCUCCAAUUCAGAAUCAAAAAAGGCACUCAAAUUGAGCUAACUGCAAUUCUGCACGGGAUCCAAUUCUCGAACCUUUAACAACUUCUGUUGCAAAAUGGCAAACUAUUCACCAUUGUCCAAUAUACUAUUCCCUUGAGAAAACGUGAUAUUCUUUCUGAAAGGGUACGGUGGUGCAAUUAAGCAUCAAUAAUAAUAAUUAAAAAAAAAUGUAACAGCACUGAAGAUCCAUUCUGAGGUAGGGACUUAUUCAGCUUGAAAAUAGUACAUAAAAACAAGGUGAACAAGGGGGAAAAAAACAGUCAUGAGUGUCCCUUCACAAGAAGAAGGGAAUGCGAAAUAAAUAUAACAACUCAACAGGCCAUACAAAUUAAGGCACAUAUGCGUUCUUGCUGAAACAUUUUUCCUCAUAUAGUACCAUGCUUUGCAACCACAAUUUUUAAACCUUCAUUUUGUCAUUUCUCAUUUUCUUCUCAAUAUAUAUAUUUUUUGCAGCUUUCAUAGUCAUAGCUCAGAAAUGUGCGCACUACAGGACUGUCCGUCAGACCAAACUUGUCACACUGUCCCGUAUGUCUUUGUCUGUGAACUGCCUAUUCGAGGCUGUAGGCAAGACGGGAGGCUCAAGGUUACAGCACCUUGCUUGGCAUCACAUGACCUUUUCAGACUCACUUUUCUUCCAUUAAGAUUCAUGCUUACUCAUCAUCAACUAGCCAUUCGCUGCAUUCCUUGUGCAAUUCCCUUAAUAGACUGAUUUCAUCACACUCAUGGUGCACAUGCGUGCGAUUCCUGCAGCUGUUGAGAAACUGGUAGUGUCCCCACUGCCACCCUUGGGUACGACGCAACUUUGAGUUGCGUGACCUGUACUAGCUACACUGUGGAUUUUUCUGGACGUUUUUGUCGCUGCCUUUACAGAGUCUGCAGCACCUAAGGAUGCCGAUUUGUUUCGUCAGCUUGGCCAAAUCAUUGAUUGAUGGCGCUAUAAUGCCCCAAACCAGCACAUGGGCUGUCAGAGAUACCUUAAUGAAGGACUUUAGAUUAAAUUUUUACUAUCCAGGGAUCUUUAAAACAAACCUAAACCUAAAACAUCAGUGUUUUUGUGCAUCGUGUCCACAUAGAUGCGGCCGCCAUGCAUAGCAGCCAAAUCUGCAACCUUGUGCUCAGCAGAACAGCAUAUCCAUCGAGUUACCACAGUGGGCUUUUGUCAGGUUUGAAUGAAUGCAUGAAAGAAGGCACCAGGGAAGCUGUCAUUUGGCAAAUUAUGUGCUUCUUACAGCCAUUCAGUUCACUAGUGACUAUGAGAACUAGCAACCUUUACGGCAGUGGCAGCACGGUGAAGCUCGCAGUGAAAUCAGUCUAUCAUUUUGCCUGGCAAACUGGAGAAAUUGGGCCACGCACGCAGAAGGCCCUCCAAUCGGAUUCUUCCGUAUUCCAACACAUGUGAAAGUCCAGUCUGUCCAGGACAGUGCCUUCCUGAAGUGCACACACAUGCCACGCCGGCAGAGAAAGAGGCCUGUGGUGGCAUUCCAGACAGGAGACACCACUCCCGCAACUAUCUUGUCCAGUGCGUCUCGGCAACACGUUUCGAGCAUUUUACAGUGGUUACAGGACACCUGCACUGGGCGCUGGAGCUUAUUUUCCAGACAGAUACAGCAGCUGUUUACCCGGUACGAGAGAAACAAGACACAAGCAGUGCCCCCCACCGCACGACAGACACGACAUCUGACAACCUAACCAAAGUCCACACGGGUUAUUCUGAAACACGACAGUCUAAAGGACACCGAGUAAAUGUAGAUACAUGCUAAGUCAUGCACAGGGAACGGCUUCUCCCACACCAGGGCUGACAAAUGAAAGCGUGCAGGUGCAUGUAAGUGCCUCAGAUGCCAAGCACAACCAAUCAAAACUAAACGAAAAUUGAUGACGACGACAAUAGAUUUUUCUUGCCCAGUUAGCUAAGGGCAACUAUGGGUGAUGUAGCCUGAGACCCGACAACAAUGCUGUAAUAAACAGUAUCCGAGGGCAGAAUAAAACAGGAUGGUAGGAACUUAAGCUACACUUGGUGUGCAGCUGGGCAGAGGUCAGACUACACCAAAGCCACCACCUAUCCCAGCCCGUUUGCUAUGUUCCUUUGCCCUCGCAAGUGAAUUCGAGUCAGUACCAUGUUUUUCUUGUCUCAGCCCAAGCAGGAAACACGCAAUGAAGAUCCCUAUUUGUGGCCCCUUCAAGAGAUGGCAGGCUUUUGAUUGCACCGAUGAGACCGUGCAGGUGUACGGCACAUUUUUUGUACACAUAACAUGACUAAUAUGUGGCACAAUUGGUUAACAAGGGUAUAUUAUAAUAAUAGCUAGUGCCGUACCACAACACAACUACCUCGCUGAGCACUAAGGGCUUUCUUGUAGCACUGUAGACAACACUGCAUGUUCCGUGAGCUCAAUGUCAGCAACAAUCAAACAAGAGUGGCACAAAGUAGGGAGAGAGAGAGAAAAAGAAUGUAAUGAACACAUGCAGUUAUAUACAGCGCAUAUUUGUUGCUCCUGCAGUACGCACUACUGCUCUGCCAGCCUGCUGUGGGAGUAGCCUUUCAAUAUCUCUCAAAAAUGCACUUCUUCCCAAACUCCUCACAGAGAUGAAUGUGCAUGUAUGCGUUAAAAUACACAUGCAGCAAGGAUAUAUGCAACUCCAGGGUUAAAUCUCAGAGACCGUCAUCUGGGCGGCCAGCGCAGCUGCGCGGCGCCGCACGACGAAACAAGCCUGAGUCUCCUGACCUGUACAAGACUUCCUCUUUCUUCUUAUCUGCUUAGAGGAACUAACGCCAACUUAUUCACAAGGACUAAGAAACACAAAGAAAAACUAGAUCCUGGGAAACAAGUGUUUGGAGUAGAGAAGCAAGCUCACUGAACACACAAAAAGAUAUCUCAGUAAGCGGAUACAAUAUUCACGUUUUUUUAAGCAAGUCUCGAAAGAACGCAACACCAUGGUCCACCUCUGUGUUAUGAGUGCACCACUGGAGACAUGUCAAAGAAAGAAAAAACAAAACUGCGAGAAGAAGAAGAAGAAAAAAAAAAAAGGUGACAAAACAAACAAUCCUUAUAACAUUACACAAGUGAUAUGGCAUUAGCCACAGGGCUCGAUGAUUUGUUUUUCUCUCCUGUCCACUAUCUCUCUCUCUCUCUCUCAUUCUCCAUCUUCUGUUUUUACAUAUUUCCCUGAGAAACAGCCCCUGCUAAGCCAUCUGUCGAACAAUGAAUAAAAGUGACAAAAAAAAACAUGAUGUAAUGUACACAUACACACAGGUAUAAAACAAAUUGAGGUAGAUAACAUUGAAAAAAUAGCUGGCUCAAAAAAAUGCAUGUUUACAGUGGACACGUGCACAAACAACACAUGCACAAAAAAAAGAGAAAAAAAAAGGGGGGGGGGGGGGAAGACAUUAAACAAAUACCUCUAUGAAGCCAUGUGUCCACCCUGCAGGAAAUGCCAACAGAUGAGUACAAUGGAAACUAUUAACAUGUGCAGAGUGGACCUGUCCACUUAGAGAUAAAAGUAAGCAUUAAAUAAAAGUCCAGCCCUCAAGAAGAAAAAGAUAAACAAAAUACUCCGUGAAUCUCUGGUCAAACAAAAAGGCAGUAUGCAACUGUGGUUGACGAAAAAAACCGAAAAAAAAAAAAAACCAAGAGAACGGAACCUGAAUGUAACAGCACUACGUCUUGCAUCCUUAAGUACCCUGCUACAGUUUUUUUUUUUACUUUCUUUUUCUUUCUUCCCCAGUCUCAUCCAUAGGCUCUCUGCAUUCAAAUGCAAGGCCCGAUUUCCAGGGCCAAGUUCUGAUACCGGCGUCUUCUUGGGGUUGGGCUGGAAACACAGCCCUUUACAUGGUGUUCAGGCAACAUGCUUUAUAUAUAUGCAGAGCCUCCCUUCAAGAUCCCUUUUUUUUUUUUUACUUGACAUUGCAUCUUACAGAAGACUGUUAACACUGUAAGGCACAGGAAACAAGUGGACAACAAUGAGUCUGAUUGUGGAAAAUCAGUGUGCACUCAAGACUAACCGUUUUCCUUUCCUGUGGCUCUUCUCAAUUUUAUAAACCUCACGCCCAUUUGUCUUGUCGUCUGUGCGAGCCCGUUAUCGCAUUCAUCUGUACGAUUCACAGGCCACUCCACACUGCCACGUCUUGCAUUUGAGUAACACAUCGUUUGUUCCAUUUUCACCCUGGCAAAAGAUACGAGGCUUUUGCUCCACCCAUCGCAACCUUCAACGGUUUUAUUUCCUGCCGCAAGCUGUUCGGCAGCGCAUGACAUGUUCUUGCGGAGCUCCACGCGUCAAAAGCACCUGAGUUUUUAAGCUAGUACUUUAAUGUAAAAUAUAUCUUCUUUAUUAGUAUUUCUCUGCUGGAAUGGACAAUCUGUGAAAAAAUGCAAAAAUGAAUAGCGAGAACGAAAACAGCAUCCUUUCCUUUUUUUUUUCCUGCACUCAGAGUCAUCUCUGAAAUGAAUCCUAAACAAGUGCUUGCAAGCAUGGCUGAUGACAGAAUGUCAAGCGAGAAAAAAAAAAAAAAAAAAAAAUCCUGCCUUGUUUCCCAUCCCAUUUUUUUUUUUAAGCAGAUCAUUUUCUCUUUUGCUCUUCCAAACCUGUGUCAUUGCUUGCUGUCUGCAAGCAGCAGUUAACACACAGAAACACUGGCUAACACGCCUUUGAAGAAUGGGGAAGGGAACAUGUUUUUUUUUCUCCUUUCCAAAUGACUACACACGUGCGUGUCUUUUUUGCUAUGUGAGAAGCAAUGCAGUUGGCACCUUACAUGUGUGAUGACGAGGACAACUGUACAUUAGCGGCUUACAAGUGACACCAUGAAUAUGAGAUGUGGCGUGCAUGACAUGAUGGUGGGAGCUGUCUUGAGCAUUGUGAAAAGGUACGCGUUGUAAUUAUAUACACUGUCGUUGCAUGCCUAUGACCCUUCUUUUUUUUUCUUCUUUGUUUCAGCUACACGAGUUGGAGAAAGAAAAAAAAUGAAUUUAAGCUUUUUUCCACUUUGAACACAAGCAUGCCUCUAUUUAGUGACAAAGUGAAGCCUCAUUAGAGCAUGGUCCUUUCCCUCUCAUAAUCCAAAGCACUCUUUAAACAUACAUUAAGAUUUCUUGCCAAACCUAAGUUAUAAGAGCAAAAUUGCAACAGCAAAACUGACAGUCUCAAAGCACUCAGCCCCUAUUACCAUGAAGUUUUCUUAGCUGCUCUGCAGACUUUUACAAAUGCAAGCCAACGCCAUUUUCAGGCUUAAAGUACAACACGGGUGAUACAACAGUAGACACCGUGGAAGGCACCGGACUAAUCUCAUCCACCUGGUGCUCUAUGAUGCAUGUUGUAGUUUUAGCAUGCUAACAAGAUUUUCUUUAAAACUGCACCUCAUUCUAAACAGCUGCCACAGCAACAAACUGAACCAGCAAUUUCAAGCACAACGACGGAAAGCAUCUACUAUGAGCAGCUGUGGAGCACCGUGAAUGCUAAAGCCCACUGCAUGCCCUAAGGAGACCUCACAUUUAAAAUUUCUUCAAAAAAACAUGCCCAUGCGAAAUAUAUACUAUCUUUAUUUUUGAACAUAACAUGCUACGGUUAUGGAACGGAACAGAAAGUACCAUAGGCUGCCACUUGGCUGCGAUGUGUGUAGCAAAUGACGGGUAGCCAUGUCUUUGGCGUACUGGGGCAAUGCAGUACUUUGUACCUUAGCAGGGACUCUGUUCGUACGAGUCCCUUUGCGAGGGGUGGAGAGGUGAGAGAGGGGGCAGCUCUUUGUACCGCUGAACACGUGCUUUAUGUGAAUGUGUGCACACAUAUUUUUUUUGCACUUUGGGUUGUCUGUGUGAAUGUGUGCGAGUGUGUGUGUUUGCCAAGAGGAGUGUCAUUUCCCUCAGAUCUCUCUCUUUUAAGACUUAAACGCUCUGUAAAAAGCAGGACAAAAAAGAAGGAAAGCUUACUAGCAGAUGCUUCCUUUUCAUGCAUUAAAAAAGCCAUCUCUCUAGUGAGAUUCUGAGCUUCUUGUUCAUGCAUCUAAUGGCAUGCAGCUAGCUAUAGGUCAUGGGUGAGAAUUCAAAGAAUGGAAGUAAAGAAAAAGAAAAAUGGCAACUGUGCACGCCUUUGCAUGAGCUGGGGCCGUGUUUUCGAUCGAUUCCUAUUCGGAGAUGACUUUCCAUGUGUCUUGACUGGCUGAGCCAACGGAAGCGCAUGCGACAAAAAGAGUGGCCGCACUUCCUAUCAAUUUAAAAAAUUUUUUUCCAAGCUGUAUGGCACUUGAGUGCAUUGACAGGAUGCCUGUCACUCAAGUGUGGCAUCACGCCAGAUGUUAAGUCAAUGUAAGAGUGAAUGUCGUUGAAGAGCCAACGUACCACCAUAAGUGGUCGAUCAAUCUGAUCGCUUCCUGUUCAGAGCUAUCACUUUGAUUGCAUGCCGACUGGUUCUACCAGUGGAAGUUGAUGUUACCAAGAGCAACUUUGAAGGUAUGAACGUUCACUGUAAGCACUAUUUCUCCACUCGUGUCAUGGGAGUGCUUUUAUCCAACAAUAGCAGGGGCCUGUUGCUACAGCAAGGUGACAAGUUACAUGAAAGUGAAAGUACAUUGCCAAAAAGUGAUCGAUCGAGACAACAGCCCCAGGACUGCCACGUGAAGUCCCCAUUUUUUUCUUGCAAUGUAUUAUGGUACACGACUGGAGGGGCAGUCUGCUGGUGUCGGUACAAAACGUGAAAGUGGUGUUAGUGCCCUGAGAGGUGUUAGCCCGUACAUUUCUGUGUCAGGCACGAAUUUGGCAAUGAGGCGCUUUUGUCUGCGGAAUAUUUUUCAACAGCCUCCCCUGUCAGUAAAGUGCCAAUUCAGCAUUGAAGAGCAAGA
rnacentral:lncRNA from 1 species